CCCUACAAUAACAGUGGCAAUAUUUUCGAUACAAAACUUAGAUAUAUACGCUGUAUACAUAAAUUUUGAAACAAGGACUUUUGAUGGUACAACUCAUGAAACUUUUAGAUCAUCGCCUAAAGAUUCAUUUUGAACAUACUGGAAAAAUCUUAUGAGAAAUGUCAGUACUAAGAGCUAUAUUUGUACAACUUUUAAAAACAAUGACGAAAUCUAAAUAUUGACCGAAAUAGGGACAUGUAUGUAAAUCAAUAGAUGAGUGGUGAGAGUAUAAAUAUUGAACUCAUCAAGUUAAAAUUCUAAGUCCGACUUUACCUGCAAUGGGUGUGUUUCUUAAUGGACCAGUCUUUACGAAUGGCCCAACUAGUAAGAAUCCAUGGGCUAAACCCACUUCUACUCCUCGGAGAAGUGGGUUCACAGCGGUCCGGUAGGCAGGUAAGUUGGACAAGUACCAUGCAAUCAAUGGGCUUGAGGUCACUGGAGUUUCAAGACUUCCAAUGAAGGGGUCACCAUUCAAGGGCUGAAUCACUUGGAAAGUGGGCUGUAAAACCAAGAAAAUGAAAAACAAGACAAAGCAAAGGUGAGAAUUAUUGAGAUCCAACAAACCAAAAGUCCAAUACUAAGAAGAGCUACAUGUCAGAAAUUAUAUAUAUGUAUUAAUGCAUAAAUUGGAGUUUUGAUGUCCAAAGUUACCCGAUAUUUAUGCUGGUAGGAAGUAGCAAAGAACUAAAAGUCUAAUCCAAAAUUUCAAGUUUAUGAGUUCUAAAACGUAGUAACCUUUUUUUGGUUACUAGGUUCUGCAUAUAUUAUUAUGCAAAUUAGGUGUUCUUUUUUAUUAUAGAAACUGAAUCUGGACUGAAAUUAUUGUAUUCUAUCGCACCCAUACCUUAUGGAAUAUCCAAUAAGUGCUCAAACUGACCCCGUCACUACGAUUAUUGAACAUAUGAACUGAAUUUUCUAAACACAAAUGCAGAAUCUACAACAAAAUCUACUGAUUCAACACCCAAAUGAUCGAUACACUAUUGAAUUAGUCAAUGCACGCACGAGCUGAUCCGAACAUCAUAAUCACCCCACCCCAACCAAAAGAAAAAGGUACUUAAAUUCAAAAAGGAAGAGUAAUGAUCAAGUAUCUUACUUUGUCAGCUUGGACAGCCUUUACUGUGAAGCAAGAUUUUCUUGUUGAAGGGAAGAUCUUAAAAGGUGCACCAGAAAUGCCUUUGGGAGUAACAAGGCCACGACCUCUGGUUAACGAUGAAGCGAAGCUACUCUUCAGCUGGCUAGCCAUUGUGGAUGCUGCAGUAGCCAUUUUGGAAAAUAUUGUGUGGCAGUGCUACUGCUUAUUUGAUCAGUUAAGAAUAUAACUAAAGAUACCAACAAGCAAUACAUGGUCCUGUGAUAACUGGCAAAUAAAAUCUUUUGGCUCAAUACAUUUGUGGUUCUGGUGGUGGAUUGACACUUACGUGGGAGUUUAUUAUUGGUCAUUUUAGAAACAUUAUCUCUUAUCCAAACCACAUUGGUCAAGAAUGGAUCACUUAUAGCUGACUCUAUUGUUAAUUUUUACACCACUUAACUAAAUACUCCCUCCGUUCAGUUUUAUUUGUCCACUUUUACGACAAUAACACGUUCAGUGUAUUCUCACAAAAAGAGUCUAAGGAGGAUAGAGUGUGCGCAAACCUUAUCUUUACCUCAAAGGUGACUUAAAGAGGUCGCUUCUGAUAGACCGCGAGUCAAAGGCAAAAACAGACCAGAAAAAUACGUAAUGAAAGUAGAACAGAUAAUAAAUAGUAAAUAAAAAUAACAGACAAUCGUAGAACAAUGCUACACAAAAUAAUACUACAAUGAACCACACAAAACACUAGAUAGCAUCAGAAAUCGAAGAUGAAACUACAAGAGUGAUCCUACGACUACUAGUAAGGACAACAAGACAAUGCAUUCCUACCUAUGAACCUUCAACUUAAUUGUGUCUUCCACACCUUGUCCAUUAUUCCAUUAAAAAAAAAAUCACUUCAACUUGUAACUUUAACAUAUCAAGAAAAAACAAUAAAUUUUUUUUUUUUAUGUAUUACCCUUAGCAUUAACGACUUAUUCUUCAAAUUAUUUUUCAAGAUCUAACAUUAAACAUCAAUUAAUAUGAGUAUUGUUGUAAAACUCAUAUCAAUUAUUAUUUCUUAAGGGGCGUGCAACAUCCAUAUUGGACAAAUAAGACUAAAUGGAGGGAAUACUUGUCAAUUUACGAAACCAAGAUAGAAUUAAUUAUUUUUGUUCCAUUUUAUCCUUACAAUUAUUUUUUGGGGGAAGUGUAAACAAUUGCGUAAAGUUUCAAAAAAGUUUCUUACGAGAUAAAUUAGUAAAACCAUUCUUCCUAUUAUUUAUAAUAUCUUAAUAAUAAGAAGAGAGAGUAAAGUAAUUAAAAAAAUGGGAGAGAGUGUAAUUACUUUUAAAAGGUUGGUAUUUAUGUUAUUUAUACAAAAAGAAAAGUGGACAACUAAUACGGGACAGAAAGGAGUACAACUUGGUGCAAGAGAAAUGGCCACAAAUAUGUUGAAAUUAAAGCGAUUCUAAAAUGCUAGUUGUUGAAAGUUGUUUUAAGAAUGCAACUGUUUUUUUCUUUUUUCUUUAGUUUUUUUUUUUAACGUACAAAUCCUAGUUAAAUUAGGAGUCCUAUCUUUGGUAGGAAACUAAUUAGUUAUUUUAAUUUUUCUUUCUCCUAUUUUUAGUUGUAAUAGCAACUACUUAAGUUGAUAAGUUGGUGGUCAAUUAUAGACGGUCUUUUAACAAGAAAAUAAUCUGUCUCUCUGCAUAUUCUCUUCUUCAAACUCAUCUCUGUUUUAGCGGCUAGUUCUUGAAUUGAAUUCCUAUUAUUUCCCUUUAACGAUUUUUGACCAACGCUAGUGGACCCGUGGUUUUUCCGUAAAACUAGAUAUUUAAUGUAUAUACUUUCUAAAAGUGGUAUAAUAUUGUUUGCUCCCAUCCAUGUUAAAGUGUCUGAUAACCUUUUAGGGGGAUUCAGAACUGAGGCACAAUUAUCAGUUCGAACUAGUGAGGCAUCCGAAAAGAUUAGUCGGACGAUUAGACAUCCAAUCCGUAAUCGCAACAAUCCAAUUGUAAGAGUGGAGCUAGUCAUAUUAUAGUAUUUUUUAAUGCGAUAAAGUUAUGUAGCGUUCAUUUAUCUAUUUAUAACAAAAUAAAUCCAAAAAAGACUAGCUUAAGAUUCAAAACUUCGUAGAUAAAUGAGCGUGACAUGCACCUAACACAUCAUGCAUUGCGCCAUUACCACUAAACUAGAGCGAGGGGUGAGAACUGGAAUCGAGAAUUAAAAUGCGCAGAUACACUACUCGAAGAGCAGCUAAGCUCAUAUCGAUGUUCAAUAUACAACUUUCAUAUCAGUUUAACAUUCAAAGUAGUUACAUCAAUUGAAAAACAUUAGAGAUCUACUUGACAUAGUAAGGAAGAUCAAGGACAUAGAGGAGGAAAUAAGCCCAAGUGACACCAGAAAUUCCACCAAAAAAGAAUCCACCAGUGAACUUGGCCCAUCCAUCUGCAGUCUGCAGUUGAUCAGGCACCUUUUUCCUGCCAGUCAAUGUCAAUGAGGGUGCUGUUGAUGGAUCUCCUUCUUUGAAUGAUGCAAUCCCAUAUAUUGUCAAACAUAUGCUAAGGAUCACUACUAGUCCUGCUGCUGCCAAUGAACCAGCCCCCCCUGCAUACAGUAGCAGAACUAGUUAAAGAUGGUAUACGUUCAGCGGAACUCAAUAUCUUAAGACUAAGGGAGCUUAUUUUGAUACUGUCGUUUAACUUGUACUACCACUUCAGACAUGCAAAUGUCUAAAGUUAUGCUUGAAAAACUUAACUUCAGUUGUCUGAAGUUACGUAUGAAUGAAGUUCAUGCAUUUAAAAAUCCAGUCAUUUUUGUUUGAAUAAACUUUACAUCGAAGUUCAGGACCAAACUUCAGUCAUAUAAAACUUCAACACGAUAUAUCUCAUGUUGUCCCAAAUAGAUACGCAUGUUAAAAAUAAAACCACAAAUUAAAUACUGGUGUCAAAAUCAAAUAUAUGUGUAGUUCACCCAAUGUAAUGAUUGAACUUAUCAAAAAGUUGAAAUUACGAAUCUCUACCUGCAAUGGGUGUGUUUCUUAAUGGACCAGUCUUUACGAAUGGCCCAACUAAUAAGAAUCCAUGGGCUAGACCCACUUCUACUCCUCGGAGAAGUGGGUUCACAGCGGUCCGGUAGGCAGGUAAGUUGGACAAGUACCAUGCAAUCAAUGGGCUUGAGGUCACUGGAGUUUCAAGACUUCCAAUGAAAGGGUCACCAUUCAGGGGCUGAAUCACUUGGAAAGUGGGCUGUAAAGGUAAAUAAAGAAGACAAGCACAUGAAUUAGUGAGAAUCAUUGAGAACCAAUCGAAUGUCGAUAAUGAUGGAGUCAGAAUUUUAAUUAAAAAUUUCAAAAAUUUUAAAAAGGGUUUCAUGGUCUAAAGGGGUUCGAUUGGAUUUCUUUUAUCGAAAAAUUAAAUUAGAUCAUGCGUAUAGCCAAUGCACCCAAAGCUCCUCGAUCAUAUGUUAUAGGGAUUCAACAAUAUCUUUUUAUGUAUGUAUGUUAUGGGGAUUCAACAAUUUCUAUAUAUUGUUUUAGGUAGCAUAUGUUUGAAUCUCAUGUGUAACAUGUAACAUUUUUUGAAUCUCCUCGUUAGAAUUCCGGGCUUUCUCACUAACAGAAAGAAAAUAUUGAAAAUCAAGAAUAUAUAAAUAAGAAUAGUGAUUUACUUUGUCAGCUUGGACAGCCUUGACUGUGAAGCAAGAUUUUCUUGUUGAAGGGAAGAUCUUAAAAG
rnacentral:lncRNA from 1 species